rnacentral:tRNA from 1 species
UCCCUGGUGGCUUAGAUGGUAAAGGAUCCGCCUGCAAUGCGGGAGACCUGAGUUCGAUUCUGGGUUGGGAAG